ACACUUACCUGGCUGGGGAGAUAGCAUGGUACCCUAGAAAUGCUGACUUUUAUAAUUUCUCCAAAUAUGGGGAACUCAUCUGCAUAAUUUGUGGUAGUGAGAGACAGGGUUUGCUUUUCCCUCU
ensembl:snRNA LOC120096382 U1 spliceosomal RNA